rnacentral:rRNA from 1 species
CACACCGCCCGUCACACCACGAAAAGCUGGUUCCACCAGAAGUCGCUGUGCUAACCGCAAGGAGGUAGGCGCCCAAGGUGAGAUCGGUGAUUGGGGUG